AUGCCGCGCCUUCAGGUCCGCUCUUUCUGCAGCUCCUUCUCCUCACGCGCCUACGACCUGCUGAACGAACUCCAAGGCCAUCUGGACUCCAGGACGCUCAGACCAGAGCUCGCGCGCCAACUGUUCGACGAAAUGCUGCGCCAACCAGUCCCAGUAUCGGCGCGUGCACUCAACGGCUUAUUUGCUGCACUCGCGCGUGCGCCGCCUUCAACCGCCUGCACUGAUGGCCCUGCGCUCGCGGUCGAUCUCUUCAACCAUAUGGCCCGAGCAGGCCGCCGCCGGAUGACAGGACCCACCGUUCACACUUACAACAUACUAAUUGACUGCUGCCACCGAGCAUGCCGCCCAGACCUAGGGCCUGCCUUCUUUGGCUGCCUCCUCAAGACAGGCAUCACAAUGAGCGCCAUUACCUACAGCAGCCUAUUCAAGUUCCUCUGUGACAUGAGGCGCACAAAGGAGGCUCUGAACGUGCUGCUCCAUAGGAUGCCCGAUGACCUGCCUAAUGUCAUCUCCUACUCAGUGAUUCUCAAGAGUUUCUGCGACAGUGGGAGGAGCCAGCUUGCGCUUGACCUGCUCCGGGUGAUGGCCAAAAAAGGUGGUGACCACUCUCCCGACGUGAUGGCAUACAACAUGGUAAUGGAUGGCUUGUUUAAGGAGGGUGAAGUAAGCAAAGCAUGUGAUCUAUUCCACGAAAUGAUACAACAGGGGGUUGUGCCUAAUGAGGUGACAUAUAGCUCCAUAAUCAAUGCGCUAUGCAAAGCAAGAGCAAUGGAUAAGGCAGAGGUGAUCCUUCGACACAUGGUUCGUAAUGGUGUCCAACCACAUGAUAGGAUAUAUAAUACCCUGAUCCAUGGAUUUUUAACUUCGGAUCAGCUGAAAGAAGCCUUUAGGUUGUUGAAAGUAAUGAGAAGCCAAGGUAGUAUGCCAAACGUUGUUACUUGCACCUCAGUCAUGGACUACCUUUGCAAGCAUGGAAGAAUCAAAGAAGCUGAGGAAAUAUUUUAUUCCAUGGCCGUGAAUGGCCGAAACCAAAUA
rnacentral:rRNA from 1 species